rnacentral:lncRNA from 1 species
AGAAAAGCCAAAAACUUUAAUUUCAACAUGAGCUACAUGGUCAUGAACACAAUGCAACGCGACCCCACUCCAACCCAAGGGCCCCAGAAACCCUCCCUCCCUAAAGGCCUGGGCGGCUGCUGCUCCAAGAGAGGGAAUGAGGGAAAGGUGGGUGGAUGGAGAGAGGCCCCCAGCCUAAGGACCCAGGCUCCUGCCUUCCCACCACCCGUCCAGGAAGCAGGACUAGGUAAAGAGUGGCAGGCUUCUGGGUGCCUCCCAGGGGAGGUGGCAGAAAUGUGCUUCUAUAAAGAGGGGCCAGCCUCCAUCCUCCCUUGCAUGCAAAAGGGCUCCCGCAGGCCCCAGGGAGGGCUGGGCUGGGAAGGCAGCUACCCAGGCCUGCUGGAAAAGGAAUCUCCCAGUUCUUACACUCACGCCUCUUCACUUUUCUCUCCUACCGCCAUCUUUCCUUCAGCCAAGGUAAUUGAG